AGUCGGCUUACGACUGAACUGAACGCAACGUCCCCUCUGCUGCUAUUGCUGCUGCUGCUGCUUGUUGAUGACUUCAAUUGAAGCGAGGCUUUCGGUCGCAUGUCAAGGCAAGCGUAGCUUCGAUGCCGACGUCGGCGUCAACUGCGGCGUUGGCGGCAGCGUCGUUGCUAAGUUUUGUGACCCUUUUCGGCACACACUUUUUUUCCCUCCUCGCUGUGUUUACUGUUGUUGUUGGCGUUGUAGUGUUAACCGCCAGUGUGUACAUACGUUGAAGUAAUUAAAGCGUUGCCAGCUGACGUCACUGACGUUGAGUGGCUUCUUCUACGAUUACUGUUUGCUGCUGGUCGCGCAUGAGCAAGAGAAUGCACUCCCGCACAAGGACACGUGCCUGGGCAAUGUCACGCAACAGGCGCUCCUUUGGGGCACGCAAUCCAAUUGUUGUUGGUCCCAAAUUGCUUUGCAUCUCUGCUAUGGUCCGCAACAGGCUGCCGUAGACAUCCACUAUGUUGGGCGUUUCUGUGUUGGUUGUAGGUGCUUGGUAGAGACAGAGACAGAGUCGGAGCAGUGUGGCAGGCGGUCAAGCGUGCUUCCCGCACGCAGAUACUUGGAUUCGUUCUACCCCCAAAGCAAGCACAACGUGUGGGGCAUGACGACGGUGAC